rnacentral:rRNA from 1 species
GAUGAACGCUGGCGGCGUGCCUAAUACAUGCAAGUCGAGCGAACAGACGAGGAGCUUGCUCCUCUGACGUUAGCGGCGGACGGGUGAGUAACACGUGGAUAACCUACCUAUAAGACUGGGAUAACUUCGGGAAACCGGAGCUAAUACCGGAUAAUAUAUUGAACCGCAUGGUUCAAUAGUGAAAGACGGUUUUGCUGUCACUUAUAGAUGGAUCCGCGCCGCAUUAGCUAGUUGGUAAGGUAACGGCUUACCAAGGCAACGAUGCGUAGCCGACCUGAGAGGGUGAUCGGCCACACUGGAGCUGAGACACGGUCCAGGCUCCUACGGGAGGCAGCAGUAGGGAAUCUUCCGCAAUGGGCGAAAGCCUGACGGAGCAACGCCGCGUGAGUGAUGAAGGUCUUCGGAUCGUAAAACUCUGUUAUUAGGGAAGAACAAAUGUGUAAGUAACUAUGCACGUCUUGACGGUACCUAAUCAGAAAGCCACGGCUAACUACGUG